GCCGUGAUAGCUCAGUUGGGAGAGCGAUAGACUGAAGUUCUACAGGUCACCCGUUCGAUCCGGGUUCAUGGCA
rnacentral:tRNA from 1 species